rnacentral:rRNA from 1 species
GACGUAGGGAGCGAGCGUUGUCCGGAUUUAUUGGGCGUAAAGAGCGUGUAGGCGGCCAGGUAGGUCUGGUGUGAAAACUCGAGGCUUAACCUCGAGAUGUCAUCGGAAACCAUUUGGCUAGAGUCCGGAAGAGGAGAGUGGAAUUCCUGGUGUAGCGGUGAAAUGCGCAGAUAUCAGGAAGAACACCAAUGGCGAAAGCAGCUCUCUGGGACGGUACUGACGCUGAGACGCGAAAGCGUGGGGAGCGAACAGG